GACGAACGCUGGCGGCGUGCUUAACAUAUGCAAGUCGAACGGAAAGGCCCCUUUGGGGGUACUCGAGUGGCGAACGGGUGAGUAACACGUGAGUAACCUGCCCUUGACUUCGGGAUAACUUCAGGAAACUGGGGCUAAUACCGGAUAGGAAUCCUUGCUGCAUGGUGGGGGUUGGAAAGCUUCGGCGGUUUUGGAUGGACUCGCGGCUUAUCAGCUUGUUGGUGGGGUAGUGGCUUACCAAGGCUUUGACGGGUAGCCGGCCUGAGAGGGCGACCGGCCACAUUGGGACUGAGAUACGGCCCAGACUCCUACGGGAGGCAGCAGGGGGGAAUAUUGCACAAUGGGCGGAAGCCUGAUGCAGCAACGCCGCGUGCGGGAUGACGGCCUUCGGGUUGUAAACCGCUUUCAGCAGGGGCGAAGCUUGUGGUGACGGUACCUGCAGAAGAAGCACCGGCUAACUACGUG
rnacentral:rRNA from 1 species